rnacentral:rRNA from 1 species
UACGAAGGGGGCUAGCGUUGUUCGGAUUUACUGGGCGUAAAGCGCACGUAGGCGGAUUGUUAAGUCAGGGGUGAAAUCCCGGAGCUCAACUCCGGAGCUGCCUUUGAUACUGGCAAUCUAGAGUCCGGAAGAGGUGAGUGGAACUCCUAGUGUAGAGGUGGAAUUCGUAGAUAUUAGGAAGAACACCAGUGGCGAAGGCGGCUCACUGGUCCGGUACUGACGCUGAGGUGCGAAAGCGUGGGAGCAAACAGG